GCCUGGCUGGCUCAGUUGGUAGAGCAUGCAACUUUUGAUCUUAGAGUUGUGAGUUCAAGCCCCCUCGUUGGGCG
rnacentral:tRNA from 1 species